rnacentral:lncRNA from 1 species
GUACAGCAGAGCUGAAAUCUAAACUGCCAUCUCAAGCACAGUGGAAUCCACAUGAUAAAUCCCUAUGGAAUUUAGUCAUAGCCUUGCAAAGCGCCAGAUGCUAAACAUGAAACACCAAGACACAGCAUACAUCGCUACUCCCCCAGCCUUCACAAACCACUUAGGCGUGGGGGAGACCAUUUCACAGAAAAGGAGGCAAGCUCCCACACCAAUCCUCACUCCUGUGAACAGAGCCACAAAGAGGAAGUCCACUACAUCUCCAGUGAAACUGUGAUAGUGCCCUGUUUCCCGGAGAAACCAGCGCAUCUGUAGCAAGGGGUUGGUAAGCUCACUUCCAAAGAGGACUGCAUUGACCUCUGUGCCAGACUCCCCAAGCACAAGGGCCAUGAUAAUGCCCAAGAUACUCAAUGUGUGAUGAGCCAGCAUCAAGGCACCCUCAGACUGAAAGUAGACGCACCAGCCCAAGUCGAAGAUGAAGUAGCCCAAGGUGAGACACAGGACAUGAACUUGGAGAGGUGUAUUGGGUGAGCCUGAAACAAA